AUAAGUACUGGAAGAAUUAAGAUUUUUUUUAAUAGAAGUAAUAUACAAAUCUGUUCAACUUUCUGGAGCCAGUUGAUAUAAAAAAAAAUAGUUUUUAACUGGAGUACCCCUUUUAAGGACAGGCUUGGUUCAGCUGCAGGAGCUCAGCAGAAUAUCAAAUUAUAACAGAAAAGAACUUGUCCAAAAAAAUAAAUAAAUAAAUAAAAAAGGCAAUAUAAAUUGCGACUGACAGGUUUCGGCUGUGGCCUUACUGUUGCUUUUUUGAUGGCUGUGACUGUAUUUUAAUGUCCUGAUACAAUAAAGAAGUUUCACUUAGGACAAGCUCGGAACCUCUUUUCUGUUAUAUUUGGCCAGCACUGCAUAGCAUCUUGCUUCUAUGCCGAAACGUAUGCACUUUUUUUGCACACCCGCAUUCCACAUCAUUAUUCAUUCCUUAUGACUAAAGAUGUUUGCACACCAUCAAUUUUUCUAGCCAGAAAUGCCAAUAAUUUUGUUUUAAAGAGGAUAAAGAAGUGCUCAAAGUUCAGUGUUUCCCUACCAGGGUGCCUCCAGCUGUUGCAAAACUACAACUCCCAGCAUGCCCGGACAGCCAAAGGCUGUCCGGGCAUGCUGCGAGUUGUAGUUUUUCAACAGCUGUAGACACACUGGUUGGGAAAGCACUGUCCUAAUUUUUGAAUAUGAUGACACCUCUCAAGCUGUCGGGGAAAAAAAUCUGAAAACAAAAGCAACCGAUGUAAUCUUCCUUUAUCAGAGCACAGCGUUAGGACGGUUUCACACGUGCAUAUUACAGAUGCAUUUUCGCGUCCAUAUCCCUGCGACAAGUCCGAGCCUGACGUGCCGGUCUGAUGAUCAAGUCAUAAGGCCUGUGGUCAGACCAGGACUUUUAACCAUCAUAAUACGGCCUAAGGGUAGGGUCACACGUGCCGUAUUUUGAUGCGUAUUUGUUGCUGUGUAAUUUGCUACCCAUUGACUUCAAUGGGUAGGAAAAUCCGCAGCAGCAAAAUACAACACGCGUGACCCUACCCUUAGGGUACGUUCACACGGGCAGAUUACCUGCAGAAUUUCCGCAAUGUAUUUGCUGCGCAAAAUCUGCAGCAGAUAAUCUGCUACCAUUAAAUUCAAUGGGUCCGAAGGAAAAUCUGCAAAACUGCCUCUAUUGUGGAUUUUCUGAUGACCCAUUGAAGUCAAUGGUAGCAAAAUCCGCUGCAGAAAUUCCACAGGUAAUCCGCCAGUGUGAACGUACCCUUAAACUGUCUUUUCCCAGAUCUCUGAUAGAGAGUGCCUUCUUUCCAUGUGUCUAAUAGAUCAUGGAAUUUUAGUAUAAGAAACCCAGUGUAAAACCACUUAUUUACAUUUGGCCUAUAGGUUUGUCAACCACAUGUGGUAACUAUAUAUAGCAAGAUCUGAGAUUGAUAGAAUAUUGUCCCUGAAAAUGUUUAAAGGGUUACCCCGUUGGAAAACAUUAUUAUUAUUUUUU